GAUGAACGCUGGCGGCGUGCCUAAUACCUGCAAGUCGAGCGAACGGACGAGAAGCUUGCUUCUCUGAUGUUAGCGGCGGACGGGUGAGUAACACGUGGAUAACCUACCUAUAAGACUGGGAUCACUUCGGGAAACCGGAGCUAAUACCGGAUAAUAUUUUGAACCGCAUGGUUCAAAAGUGAAAGACGGUCUUGCUGUCACUUAUAGAUGGAUCCGCGCUGCAUUAGCUAGUUGGUAAGGUAACGGCUUACCAAGGCAACGAUGCAUAGCCGACCUGAGAGGGUGAUCGGCCACACUGGAACUGAGACACGGUCCAGACUCCUACGGGAGGAAGCAGUAGGGAAUCUUCCGCAAUGGGCGAAAGCCUGACGGAGCAACGCCGCGUGAGUGAUGAAGGUCUUCGGAUCGUAAAACUCUGUUAUUAGGGAAGAACAUAUGUGUAAGUAACUGUGCACAUCUUGACGGUACCUAAUCAGAAAGCCACGGCUAACUACGUG
rnacentral:rRNA from 1 species